rfam:Firmicutes bacterium CAG:345 genomic scaffold, scf15
UAUUGAAAAAGGCAAAACUAUCGUAAGAUAGCGACGCAAAACUAUAGGGUCCUAAAAAAAGGACAGCCAGUUACCAUA